rnacentral:rRNA from 1 species
UGGGGAAUAUUGGACAAUGGGCGAAAGCCUGAUCCAGCCAUGCCGCGUGUGUGAAGAAGGCCUUUUGGUUGUAAAGCACUUUAAGCGAGGAGGAGGCUACUUGGAUUAAUACUCUAGGAUAGUGGACGUUACUCGCAGAAUAAGCACCGGCUAACUCUGUGCCAGCAGCCGCGGUAAUACAGAGGGUGCGAGCGUUAAUCGGAUUUACUGGGCGUAAAGCGUGCGUAGGCGGCUUCUUAAGUCGGAUGUGAAAUCCCUGAGCUUAACUUAGGAAUUGCAUUCGAUACUGGGAAGCUAGAGUAUGGGAGAGGAUGGUAGAAUUCCAGGUGUAGCGGUAAAAUGCGUAGAGAUCUGGAGGAAUACCGAUGGCGAAGGCAGCCAUCUGGCCUAAUACUGACGCUGAGGUACGAAGGCAUGGGGAGCAAACAGG